CAAGAAAUAGUUUAAUUAGAAUAUCAGCUUUGGGUGUUGAUGGUGGAGGAGGAGUCCUUCUUUCUUGA
rnacentral:tRNA from 1 species